rnacentral:rRNA from 2 species
UUUUCGAUGGUAGGUGACCUGCCUACCAUGGUGAUAACGGGUAACGGGGAAUCAGGGUUCGAUUCCGGAGAGGGAGCCUGAGAAACGGCUACCACUUCCAAGGAAGGCAGCAGGCACGCAAAUUACCCAAUCCCGGCACGGGGAGGUAGUGACGAAAAAUACGGAUACGGGACUCAAUAGAGGCUCCGUAAUUCGAAUGAGUACAAUUUAAAUCCUUUAACGAGGAUCAACUGGAGGGCAAGUCUGGUGCCAGCAGCCGCGGUAACUCCAGCUCCAGAAGCGUAUAUUAAAGUUGUUGCAGUUAAAAAGCUCGUAGUUGGAUCUGGGUCGUAUGGC